rnacentral:rRNA from 1 species
UACGUAGGGGGCAAGCGUUUGUCCGGAUUUAUUGGGCGUAAAGAGCGUGUAGGCGGUUUGGUAGGUCCGUUGUGAAAACUCGAGGCUCAACCUCGAGACGCCGAUGGAAACCAUCAGACUAGAGUCCGAAGAGGAGAGUGGAAUUCCUGGUGUAGCGGUGAAAUGCGCAGAUAUCAGGAAGAACACCCGUGGCUAAGGCGGCUCUCUAGUACGGUACUGACGCUGAGACGCGAAAAGCGUGGGGAGCGAACAGG